GCCGCGGUAGCUCAGCCUGGUAGAGCAGUUGAUUUGUAAUCAACUGGUCGAGGGUUCGAAUCCCUCCCGCGGCU
rfam:Halodesulfurarchaeum formicicum strain HSR6 chromosome, complete genome.